CCAAGCGUUGUUCGGAUUCAUUGGGCGUAAAGGGUGCGUAGGCGGCGCGGUAAGUCGGGUGUGAAAUCUCGGGGCUUAACUCCGAAACUGCAUUCGAUACUGCCGUGCUUGAGGACUGGAGAGGAGACUGGAAUUUACGGUGUAGCGGUGAAAUGCGUAGAUAUCGUAAGGAAGACCAGUGGCGAAGGCGGGUCUCUGGACAGUUCCUGACGCUGAGGCACGAAGGCCAGGGGAGCAAACGGG
rnacentral:rRNA from 1 species